GCAUUACACAGAUCCAUGCCCCAGUCGUGUUGCAGAUAUGGCUGUAGUGCCAUGUUUGUGUCAUUAGGUGGCAGAAAGGAAAAGGCUGUGUCUUUGC